CGCAGCUGUGUCAGAUUCGGUGCCUGCCUCACCCGUGGCGGGCACUGGCCUAAAAGGCUGCCACAGAAACACUGUGACUCAUGGGCCCUGAUCCUCUCUGCUGGGCCUCAGGGAUACAUUUGGUUACAGACACCA
ensembl:snoRNA SNORA5A small nucleolar RNA, H/ACA box 5A